rnacentral:rRNA from 1 species
UACGGAGGGUGCAAGCAUUAAUCGGAUUUAUUGGGCGUAAAGGGCGCGUAGGCGGGGAUAUAAGUCAGAUGUGAAAUCCCGGAGCUCAACUCCGGAACUGCAUUUGAAACUAUCUCUCUUGAGGGUAGGCGGAGAAAAUGGAAUUCCACAAGUAGCGGUGAAAUGCGUAGAUAUGUGGAAGAACACCAGUGGCGAAGGCGGUUUUCUAGCUUACUCCUGACGCUGAGGCGCGAAAGCAAGGGGAU